UUUCCCAUCCACGGUUGGUCCCUCCCCAUCGUGACGAUCCUAGAGAGGUACCAGUUCCUGUAUAUGACGUCGGGCCAUCUGAUCCUGAUUGGGCUCGUGUAUCUACAUUGAUUCAUCGCUAUCUGAGACAGGUUAAUGCCGAAGAGGAAGAUCCACAGUUUUCUGAUUUAUUUGAAGCUUUGCAUAUUUCUCGUUCACAUUGAUUUAUGUAUUAAGCUUUGAAUAUAAUACACAUAAUAAUAUAAAAUUCAUGUUUUG
rnacentral:lncRNA from 1 species